rnacentral:tRNA from 1 species
GCCGGGGUAGCUCAGUCGGUAGAGCAACGGACUGAAAAUCCGUGUGUCGACGGUUCGAUUCCGCCCCCCGGCACCA